rnacentral:lncRNA from 1 species
UUCCCAAGCUGGCUGUUGGUUGUACUCCCAGUUAUACGCUAUCAGGAUUGCCUUUCCAACUGUAUUCCUCACUGGAGUUAGCUUGAGGCUGUUCUGACUGUUUCUCUUUGGAUUUCUCAGUGGGUUCUUUCCUGGAUUCUUCGCUAAAUGGUUCAAAUGACUCUUCAAUGAAUUCCUAACUGAAAUCCUGUUCCCAAACGUCACUGAAUUCUCCACCAGUGUGUCUCAAUCUGUGGGCAUUGUUUCAUGCAGAAGACAUUAAAUAAAAGGCAGUUGAGCAAAUACAAGCAAGAGACCGAACGUUUCAGCAAAGUCUACGGGCUCCAAACAGCCUUAGUUUGGAAGGCAAAAAAAUCCUCACAGCUUCCCCUACUGCAGCUUUGAUGACAGAUUCAACGGAAUAAGGCCAAGUGCCAAGGUAAAGCAUGAAAAAAACAUCUCAGUCCAGUCCCUACCUACUUUUCCUAAAUCAUUUCUUACCGAUAUCACCGGUGCACUUGAGGGACCAACCACAUGGAACCACUUAUCAUUCCCAGAGCUCCUGGAAUCAGGUUUGUGGAUGUGUGUGGCUCUCUGAGGCUCAUUUGAUGACAAAGAGGAAAGGCAGAUCUCUUCCAUAA